CGGGGAUUCUGUGUAGAAGAAACCGGAACCCGGGACCUGGGACCUGAGACGCGCUGCGGACCGGAAGUGGGGGAGGUGAUGUCGGGAGUGCUGGCGUGGCCUGGGCCACGUCCAGAGAGCUCAAGACAGGGUUUUCACCAAGGUUGUCCUGCCUGCCUAGUAACUGGAGUUACACUGCUGCACCACCAGGCCCAGAGUCUGGUAAAGCUUUUAAAAGGAGACUAUUACCUGCCCUUGGGUCCCAGAAAUCUCAGGCGCCGCCUAGGAGCCACUUGUCACUCACUAUUAAGGCUGCAACAACAAAGUGUGAAUUCGAGCUCUAGAUGGGAAUCUUGGAACCACCACAUUCCACAUGAUGACGUCAGGCAAGUCGUUCAACCUCCCUGAACCUACUGUCUCAUGAAUAAAAUGGUAAUCAUAAUA